ensembl:lncRNA
CUGACAGCCAAAGAGGAACCAUUUCUACUUAGAGAUUGCCUCCUGUGGGAGUUUUCAGCAAGAUCUUAUCUUUGGAAAGGGGAUUUGUUGCAGACUGGGAGACAUGCAUUCUGUUUGCAAGCUGACAAAGUCUGUUCUACAUUCUGCUCCCAGCUACGUGACCAGGUUGUCUCUGUGCUAGGAAAAGAAAGCCACAAAAAUCCGACUCAAGAGCAGCAUGUAGGCUCCGUGCUCAAAGAGUUGAUAAAAACUUUUGGAUGUUAGGCUUAACACCUUCUUCACCCCAGCGGUUUCAUGCCAGCGAUAUUUCAAAGUGAUUCAAGGGCUCUUUUUUCCAGUGAACAGUGCUUAAAAGAUAGCAGGCUGCAAUGAGGAUUGUAACAGUGCUGUAACUAUUCUCAGGAAACUAUCAUUUGGGAAAGUCCUGGGAGAUAUCUUGGAGCUGUUUUGUGUUGUUCCCCAGUAAGGAGCAGAAGACACCUGCCAUUUAGUUAAAUGCCUUAUCUUGGCCUAUUUGGGAACCUCGUUUCAGAUGAAAGUGUCUAUGCUAAUCAAACAAAAUACUAUCAAAAGUGGUCCAGAUGAGAGUGAUAGCUUUAAAAAAAGCACUUUAAAAUGCUUGCGAUUUAUAGUUUUGUGUUAAAUCAGCUUAGCAUUCAUGAAAUAAAAGUGUUGACUACUUGCUGACAUUUUGUGUUUUUCUGAAGAUGAAGCUCAAAUACGAGGGCAGUAUGGGCCC